AUUGAACGCUGGCGGCAUGCUUUACACAUGCAAGUCGAACGGCAGCACGGGAGCUUGCUCCUGGUGGCGAGUGGCGAACGGGUGAGUAAUGCAUCGGAACGUACCCAGUAGUGGGGGAUAGCCCGGCGAAAGCCGGAUUAAUACCGCAUAUUUCCCUGAGGGAGAAAGCGGGGGACCUUCGGGCCUCGCGCGUACUGGAGCGGCUGAUGUCGGAUUAGCUAGUUGGUGAGGUAAAGGCUCACCAAGGCGACGAUCCGUAGCUGGUCUGAGAGGAUGAUCAGCCACACUGGGACUGAGACACGGCCCAGACUCCUACGGGAGGCAGCAGUGGGGAAUUUUGGACAAUGGGGGCAACCCUGAUCCAGCCAUGCCGCGUGAGUGAAGAAGGCCUGGUGUAAGANCUUC
rnacentral:rRNA from 1 species